UCUCCAUCCUCAGGUGCACACUCAGAUCUCCUCCAUCCUCAGGCGCACACUCUGGUCUCCUCCAUCCUCAGGUGCACACUCAGGUCUCCCCCAUCCUCAGUGCACACUCAGGUCUCCUCCAUCCUCAGUGCACACUCAGGUCUCCUCCAUCCUCAGUGCACACUCAGGUCUCCUCCAUCCUCAGUGCACACUCAGGCUUCUCCAUCCUCAGGCACACACUCAGGCUUCUCCAUCCUCAGGUGCACACUCAGAUCUCCUCCAUCCUCAGGCGCACACUCUGGUCUCCUCCAUCCUCAGGUGCACACUCAGGUCUCCCCCAUCCUCAGUGCACACUCAGGUCUCCUCCAUCCUCAGUGCACACUCAGGUCUCCUCCAUCCUCAGUGCACACUCAGGUCUCCUCCAUCCUCAGUGCACACUCAGGCUUCUCCAUCCUCAGGCACACACUCAGGCUUCUCCAUCCUCAGGCACACACUCAGGCUUCUCCAUCCUCAGUGCACACUCAGGUCUCCUCCAUCCUCAGUGCACACUCAGGCUUCUCCAUCCUCAGGCACACACUCAGGCUUCUCCAUCCUCAGGUGCACACUCAGGUCUCCUCCAUCCUCAGGCGCACACUCUGGUCUCCUCCAUCCUCAGGUGCACACUCAGGUCUCCUCCAUCCUCGGUGCACACUCAGGUCUCCUCCAUCCUCAGUGCACACUCAGGUCUCCUCCAUCCUCAGUGCACACUCAGGUCUCCUCCAUCCUCAGUGCACACUCAGGUCUCCUGCAUCCUCAGUGCACACUCAGGCUUCUCCAUCCUCAGGCACACACUCAGGCUUCUCCAUCCUCAGGUGCACACUCAGGUCUCCUCCAUCCUCAGGCGCACACUCUGGUCUCCUCCAUCCUCAGGCGCACACUCAGGCUUCUCCAUCCUCAGUGCACACUCAGGUCUCCUCCAUCCUCAGUGCACACUCAGGUCUCCUCCAUCCUCAGGUGCACACUCAGGCUUCUCCAUCCUCAGGCGCACACUCUGGUCUCCUCCAUCCUCAGGUGCACACUCAGGUCUCCUCUAUCCUCAGGCACACACUCAGGUCUCCUGCAUCCUCAGUGCACACUCAGGUCUUCUCCAUCCUCGGUGCAUGCUCAGGUGUCCUCCAUCCUCAGGUGCACACUCAGGUCUUCUCCAUUUUAAGUGCACACACUCAGAUAUUUGUGUCUGUGUUUCCCUGAUGAUCAGUGGUGGUGAACAUCUCUGCAUGCGCUUAUCAGCCACGGGUGAUACCUUAUAUUUUGACGAGGGGUUGAUGGUAGUUAGCCUCAUAGAUGGGCGUUUGAACUUUGUGGUCAAGCAACUCCGCUGCUGUGUUUCUGCACUGAGUGGCUUGUUACUGUCUCCUCGUUACAUAUUGACCAGCUGUCAGUCUGGUGCCUGGAGCUUUGCACCUGUGAGCUCAUCCGAUUCUCA
rnacentral:lncRNA from 1 species